UUUUUUACUUCAAGAGAGAGAAAGAAAAGGGGUUCAAAGUUCCUUGAUUUUUUGUGGGUUUUUGGAGAGAUUUUGGGUUGUUCUUGAGAGUUGAGGCCAAGGAAAGGUAGAUCUUGAGGUUGCGGUGUUAGGAGUGCUAUGUGCUGUCUUAGAUCAGCUGUUUUUUGUCACUGUUCAUCUAUUGCAAAAGGUAAAGAUAAAGUGUGACUGUAGAAUCUAGGCGAGGAGAAAAGAAUGAUCUGUUGGCUCGCUGGUUGUGUUGUGAUUUUUAUGUUAUUGCAUUGUUAGGUUGUUAGCUCUGGAAUUUAGAAACAUGUUAGGAUGCUUUUCUAUUUCUAGAUGAUGACUGGUUUGGAUAUUGUUGGAAUGUUGGUUUAAUGCAAUUGGUUAUUUGGAUU